UAUGGUAAUUCCAGCCGCCGCGGUAAUACGUAGGGGGCAAGCGUUAUCCGGAUUUACUGGGUGUAAAGGGAGCGUAGACGGAUUAGCAAGUCUGAUGUGAAAGGCAGGGGCUCAACCCCUGGACUGCAUUGGAAACUGCCAGUCUUGAGUGCCGGAGAGGUAAGCGGAAUUCCUAGUGUAGCGGUGAAAUGCGUAGAUAUUAGGAGGAACACCAGUGGCGAAGGCGGCUUACUGGACGGCAACUGACGUUGAGGCUCGAAAGCGUGGGGAGCAAACAGG
rnacentral:rRNA from 1 species